rnacentral:lncRNA from 1 species
GGGCACGCCUUCGGAAUCCGGCUUCGAAGCCGGCCGCCUGACCUGGGGCAAGUGCUUUCAACUCUCUGAACUUCGGUUCCUCAUCUGCCAGUUGGCAGACGCUCAGCAAAUCUUCCUAGACUCACGGGGCGAAUUGUACAGUUGGGUAAAUCGAGGCCCAGAGAUGGCAAAAGGACCGUCCAAGGUCGUACAGCCACCCGGAAUUACAAUUCUUUUCUGCCGGGUCACACGCUGUCAUCCACGUGUUACCUAAGAGAGCUUUCCAGCCUGUGCUAAGAAAACUGCCCCACAUCAUCUGCAGUAGGACGGGGGAGUUGGAGCCCUGGUCAGGCCACUCUGCUACUGACCACAGUUUUCUCAUCUCUAAAAAGGCGCAGUAACAAUAUAAUUACCGUAUGCAGUCCCCCAGGAUACAGGGUCAAAGGAGAGCACAACCAUCGCAGUUGGAAGCCCAUGGGGCAGCCCAGUGCAGAUGCAUCUGACUUACGAAACUUCAGUGACACCUGCUCUGUGCCAGACACUGAAGAUGGAGCAGUGAACAGCACUGACCCAGCCUGUCCUCCUGUUGCCUGCAGGCCAGAAGCAAGGUCUCGCUGUGUUACCCUGGCUGGAGUGCAGUGGCUACUUACAGGCAUGAUCAUAGCAUACUGCAGCCUCGAACUCCUGGACUAGAGCAGUUCUCCUGCCUCAGCCUCCAGAGCAGCUGGGACUGCAGACACGCACCACAGAGCCCAGCCUGAGUCAUUUUGAUUCUGUAACUGGCUUCCUCUCGGCGGGCAGGCUCACACCCUCCACCCCCAGCUGGAGAUGGAAGGAGGAUGCUCACCGCCCAUUCCUCAUGCAGGCCAUCGAUGGAAAUGUCAGACAGUGCGAGUCCACGCCUGAACACUUCUGGGGUCCGCUCUGGGACUGACACUGGCAGAUCCAUCGAUGCCGUUCCAUUGUUUGCUGACUUUCAUUGAUUCUAUGAGAAGUCUGCAGUCUUUUGCAGCGUUGUUUUCCUAUGUAUAAUUGUCUCCUCCCACCCCACUCACCCCAGCUGCUUUCCACAUUCUCUCUCUUUGAUUUUCAGCAGUCUGCCCAUGAUGUGCCUAAAUAGGACUUUCUUUGCAUUCAUCUUGGCUGGGGCUCACUGAACUUUCUGAAUCUGUAGAUUAAUUUUCUUUUUUCAAUAAACCUUGGAAUAUUUUCAGCAUAA